rnacentral:rRNA from 1 species
UAACGCGNGAGUAACCUGCCUUGGAGUGGGGAAUAACAGCUGGAAACAGCUGCUAAUACCGCAUAAUAUGUCUGUGUCGCNUGNNNCUGGANAUCANAGAUUUAUCGCUCUGAGAUGGACUCGCGNCUGAUUAGCUAGUUGGNGGGGCAACGGCCCACCAAGGCGACNAUCAGUAGCCGGACUGAGAGGUUGGCCGGCCACNUUGGNACUGAGACACGGCCCANACUCCUACNGGAGGCAGCNGUGGNGAAUAUUGGGCAAUGGGNGCAAGCCUGACCCAGCAACGCCGCGUGAAGGAAGAAGGNUUUCGGGUUGUAAACUUCUUUUCUCANGGACNAAGCAAGUGACGGNACCUGAGGAAUAAGCCACGGCUAACUACGUGCCAGCAGCCGCGGUAAUACGUAGGUGGCAAGCGUUAUCCGGAUUUACUGGGUGUAAAGGGCGUGUAGGCGGNAAAGCAAGUCAGAUGUGAAAACCACGGGCUCAACCUGUGGCCUGCAUUUGAAACUGUUUUUCUUGAGUACUGGAGAGGCAGACGGANUUCCUCGUGUAGCGGNGAAAUGCGUANAUAUGAGGAGGAACACCAGUGGCNAANGCGGUCUGCUGGACNGCAACUGACGCUGAGGCGCGAAAGCGUGGGGAGCAAACAGGAUUAGAUACCCUGNUAGUCCACGCUGUAACNAUGGAUACUAGGUGU